rnacentral:rRNA from 1 species
AGAAUCAACGCUGGCGGCGUGCCUAACACAUGCAAGUCGAACGAGAAAGUGGAGCAAUCCACGAGUAAAGUGGCGCACGGGUGAGUAACACGUGACUAACCUACCCUUGAGUGGGGGAUAACCUAGAGAAAUCUCGGGCUAAUACCGCAUAAUACCUUCGGGUCAAAGGAGCAAUUCGCUUAAGGAGGGGGUCGCGGCCGAUUAGUUAGUUGGCGGGGUAAUGGCCCACCAAGACUAUGAUCGGUA